CCUGGUCAUAACUACAGCCCAGAGCAAGGUUUUUUCCUUUACAGAAUGAGAUCAAAUGUGGUGGAAGCUACUAGUUUAAUGAGAACACCUCUCCCCAUACUGAGCUAUCCUAUCUUUCAGAAUCAUAAACUGAGGUUUUGAUGAAAAGUCCCCUUACCUGAGAGGUAAGUGGGGCCUUCCCACAGGAGCCCUAUUCUGUGGAAUGCCCUGUUUUAAAUCGGGUUUUCCCUGCCCCGCUAAGCUGCAUGGAGGUUGGGGGGGGGGGGGAAUCUCUCUUCCAGCUCUAGUAUGGGAGUCAGUAGAUUAGCCUCUCCUUCCUGCCUGCCUGCUUCCUUCUCAGUAAGAAUUCCCUAUCCAGUGCCUGUAAUAAUUUAAAGAAAAAUAAGAUACAUAGCUCCAUGUUAUAUAUUAAGCCAGGAGUGGGGAAGUGGAACUGGCCUGUGGGUGGAUCCUGAUCUCUCCCACUCACUCCCAUGGGACCAACUGAAGGGGCCACCAAUCUGUCAAUCAUUGGAUGCCAUAAUGAAUCAAACUGUGCAAGGUAUGGCGCUUUGCAAACCCCAGCAAUCAGCUGAUCAUCUAGGCACAGUGAAACAGCGAAAAUCCGGAAGGUUGUUGAGCUAUUUUUGGCAAAGUUGCCAAUUUUGGGGGGGGGGCGGGCAAAAAUGCCAGUUUUGAGCAAUUUUUACAGAAAAUUAGCAAAAACAACACUGCCGACAUGGGCUGCCACCUGGGCACUGCUGCAGACUGCAGUAUUCCAGAUACAGUGGUGCCCCGCAAGACGAAUGCCUCGCAAGACGGAAAACCCGCUAGACGAAAGGGUUUUCCGUUUUUGAGUUGCUUCGCAGGACGAAUUUCCCUAUGGGCUUGCUCGCAAGACGAAAAUGUCUUGCAGUCUUGAGAUUUUUUUCGCUCCCCUUUAUCUAAUCCGCUAAGCCUUUAAUAGCCUUUAAUAGCCUUUUAGCAGCUAAUCCGCUAAGCCUUUAAGCCUUUAAUAGCCGCUAAACCGCUAAUAGCGCUAAUCCGUUAAGCCGCUAAUAGGGUUGCUUCGCAAGACGAAAAAACCGCUAGACGAAGACUCUCGCGGAACGGAUUAAUUUCGUCUUGCGAGGCACCACUGUAUGUCCAGGAAAUUCCGGGUGUAUGGCAACCCAUCUUUAUCUUUACCUGGCCUCUCCUGACAUGUAUUGUGAAGAGCAUGUGGGUGAGGCUCAGCCAAAGCAACCUUGUAGGCCAAAUGGGGAGGAGCUACAAGCCAGCCAUUCCCCAACCCACAUUUAGUAAACAUCAAGUUUGGCUCUGAACUGCAGUCUCCAGCAAUUUCCAGCGGCAAUUUUUUUAUUUUAUUUUAUUUCCUCAAAAGGUUUUAUUGAACAUCAGGAACCAGAAAAAACAAAAAUAUUUAUUUUUAUUUAACAGGCUUAAUCAUCAAAACCUCUAAGUGCCAUUAGAACGUUUCCUCUUCAGGACAUUCAAUGGUUCUCUUAAUGAUCUGAACCCUGCAAUCCAUUGCAUAACUACUCAAAAGUAAACCCCAGCAUCAGUUCAAGGGAGCCUGCUUCCAAGGAAAUAUGUAUGAGAUGGCAGCCUAAAGCUGCUUUAUGCAAACAGUGACAUAUUUCCAUUGCUAAUUUCAAUGAAAAUGUGUUGUUUUGUACUCUUAAUUCUUGUUAGCACUGUGUACAAAUUAGCUUGAUAACGAUGUUUUAUGAGAUUUAGCUUGUAAGCCACUUUGGGUUGUUUUAGUUAAAGAAAUGCAGAAUGUAAUCAAUCAAUCACACUGAAAUCUGAUUAUAUUAGCUACUAAUCAGCUACUAACCGCAGUAGUAUAGGAAGAAGCUCUAAAAAUCAGGGCUGUUCGUUCCAUUAGGCAAAGUGAAGGCAGCUGCCUUAGGCAGCAAAUCUGAGGCAACCAUUAGACAAAAGUAAGAUGCCCGCCAUGUGCAAUGUAAUCCUAUAAUGAGCACCUACUAGUUGUUGAUUGGGUGGGCUCAGGCAGUAUCAAUGCUUCACUGCAGGAGGGGAACAUACCAUCUGCCUUGAAAGAGCUGGUGGCGCAUGCCCCCCCUUAAGAAGACCUCCUUGGACACAGAAAUGCUAAAUAAUUAUCAUCCAGUGGCAAAUUUCCCCUUUGGGGACAAGGUGCUUGAGCAGGUGGGGAGAUACUAGAUAGAUAGAUAGAUGACAGAUAGAUAGAUAGAGUAUUCCAAGAAGGCAACAAUAUCAGGAAACUUACCCAGGAAAGAGCUGUCUAGAAUUUUGUAGAAGGAGAGCAAAACAGUAGCAAACAUCAAUGAGCUUAGGAUGUCUGUGGUUUGGAUGGGGGGCUUUAUAAAACGUUAGCACUUCUGGGAAGAUUUCAGAAUACAGAACAUUUUUUUUAUUCCUCUAUGGUGACUCUUUAACUUGAUGCCGAACGCUGGGAGCUGCCAAGCUAUUCCUUGCUCCCCAUAUAACUUUUAAUUGGUGCUUGCACCUGUGUUCUUGUGUGACCUAACUGUGACUUGAAGAGACAAAUCCUGGCAAAGAUAAAGUAGCUCUCUAUUUUCCAGCACAAUCCUAUUUUUCACUCCCUUCUAGUUUGGCUAAGCACUGUAUUCAUUUCUGGCUGGAAUAGCCUCAAACAGAAGAUCCGUCCCUGUUGAACUAUAGUGUUACUUACAAGAUGGGGGGGGGGGAGAACACCCAACAUCUAUCUCUGCUUAAAGUUGUUUUCUCCUCCAUCAGAGACAACUUGCUCUAGCACAACAGCCAUAUUAUUAUGCUUUAAACACAUUGAUCCAUUUCAUGAGGUUUUCACAGAACAGGAACGAAAGCAUCAAUUUCUCAUGAUAUUGUUUUAGCUCUCUAAUUACUUUGUGACUUACAGCUCCUGCAAAUGAGGGAACAGUAAACAGCAAAUUUCGGUCUUUUAAUUAGCUGGCAGACAGCACAUAUUGUCGUAAUUUUGGGGCACAGGCUUCUUUGAUGAAAUGCGCUCUGAUUGUUUGAAUGUGAUCACUAUCAAAAUGAAUACAGCUUCAUUUUACAUAACAUGUUCAGAAUGUGAAAAGGAAAAGAGAGAAAUAAGGGAGGGAGGGAGAGAAUGGGACAAAACCAAAAUACGAUCCAUUUCCUUCCUUUUAGUUCUGGACAUUCAUUCCAAAAUGUGGGAUAAAAAUGUUUCAAGUCAGAUGAGAGUAAAAGUGGGACUAGAAUGCUAAGAAGGUGAAUAAGAAGCAAAAAACAGGAACCCAAAAGGACAAAACAAAAGGACAAAAAAUGCAGGAAUUGACUUGGUAGCGGUGCUGAGAAAUGCAGUGAACUCCUGUGACACAGAAUAGUUUUCCACCUGGUUCUGUCAUCAACAUUCAUGCCUUUAGCGAUCAUAUGGGGAUGGGGGGGGAAAGCAUGCCCCACACUCCUCUCAGAUUGAUCCCCCCAUCCAGAGAGACUGGGGCAACCCCGUCAGAUGGACAGGGUUUGGCCCCUGGUCCUAAGGUUGCUCAUCAAAAACAAAACAGUUCACUCCCCCCCCCCAUGAAAUACUUUGAAUUUUUAAAUUUUAAACUUUCUUAAAUUAUAGCACAACAAAAACAACAACCACAACAUGGAUUCAGAGCCUCACUAAGCCUUGAAACUCACUGACUGGCAUUGAACCAGCUGCACUUUCUCAGCCUAGUUUACCUGAUACAGUUGUUCUGUGGAUAAAAUGGCAUAACUUCCUUGUACACCGUUGUGACUUCCUUGGUGAAAGGACAGGGUGCAGCUGGGUUUAUUUAUUAAAGAGAUAUUCGUCUUAAUUAAGAGGAAGGCUUACUUUACGCCAGGGGUUGGGAACCUGUGGUCUGCCAGAUGUUGGUGAACUCCAACUUCCAUCCUCCUUGUCCAUAGGCCAUGCUGGCUUGGGCUGAUGGGAAUUGGAGCUUAACAACAUCUGGAGGGUCUCCACUCCUGCUUUAUCCAGUGAUUUGGGAGCUUUAUCAUAGUUCCCCUGUUAUCUGCUUGUUUAAAAUUAACCGUACUUUUGUUCUGGGAGAGGGCAACUUGUAUAUUUGUACGAUGCCUUGUUUCCAUUGAAAUGUAAUGAUUUUAACAAAUCGCACAAUCGAAACUGGAAAUCAGUUACUUGGGUAUUGUUACUUGAAUAAUUUAUUUUGAAUUGGGGAUUUGUGAGUCAAAAAUAACUGAGAGAGAUUAUCUAUAGCGAUGGGAAUAUAGCUGGGGCUCUGAGUGCUUAGAUGCACGAGUGAAGUUUUUAUAGAUGUUCACAGCCUUUAUGUGCAAUAUUCAAAAUUAGAAAUGUGGAAAUGAUUUAUUUUUGAAAGCAGCCACAUGGAAGCCUGGGAGUAAACAAACAAAUGGGCUGCUGUAAAGUAGGCACUCUAAACAUACAUAAAUAAAACAAAUUCAAUCCCCCAGCAGACCGUUGUUGUUUUUAAGAUGUCUUUUUCUGGUGAAAGUUUGUCAGCAGUCCUUUGACAAUUUAAAACAAGUUGGGCCGCCCCAACAGGGAUUUUAAAUAGUUUAAUCCAUUAGUAAAAGCAUGUCAUUUCCUCUCCUCAUUGCCAGAUAUUUCCACAGGAGAAAAACCACCAGUAGAUUGAAUAAGAACUUUUUCCGUAAUACAAAUAGUAGCUGUGAGCACCAUGCACCCAAUCUGGAUCUGGGCCACGGCCAGGGGAGAGGGUUCAAACCCCCUCACCCUCUGCUCCCCCCCCCACAUCAGGGCCCUGAUCCAGCUCAGGUUCACUGCACCUACAAUUUGUUUAAAAAUGGCAUCAUGAGUAAUUUGGUCCUCUUUAUCCUUUUCUUUCUUUGCUCUUGCCCUCUCAUUUACCCAGCCUACCUUUUAAGUGAAUUGGCUGCUGUGAAGCACAUGAUUUUCUAUAGCCCACUUGGCUGCGUCAAUCCGUAUGACUUUGUUUAUAAGCAUCCAUGACAUCAGCAAAGAGGAAGAUGACAUCAUCAAGAAAAAGCACACUCAUGGCAGUGAAUGGUAUUAUUAUUAUUAUUAUUAUUACAAAAUGCAAAUGAUGCUGAAGAUACCUUUUGACCCUCAGGAAAAAGAACACAAAACCAGGGAAGGUGUUUCACGUAACUCCUGACUAGGGGAGUAGCAGAGCUGAAUGACUAGCGGAGUCAUUGCUGCUCAACCAGUGCAAAUGUGGUGGGCAGUUGUUUUCCUUUUGCUUUUUGCUGUGGAGCUUCUCCUACACAUUAGUGAAGUUUAGCUGAAUGGAGAUAAACUUCAACUGCAUCCCAAAACACACACUCCACCCAUAGUAAUUCUGAUAUUGCUAUAUCUUAAAGGUAAAGGUAAAGGUACCCCUGCCCGUAGGGGCCAGUCGUGUCCGACUCUGGGGUUGUGCACUCAUCUCACUUAAGAGGCCGGGAGCCAGCGCUGUCCGGAGACACUUCCGGGUCACGUGGCCAGCGUGACGAAGCUGCUCUGGCGAGCCAGCACCAGUGCAGCACACGGAAACGCCGUUUACCUUCCCGCUAUAAAGCGGUACCUAUUUAUCUACUUGCACUUAGGGGUGCUUUCGAACUGCUAGGUGGGCAGGAGCUGGGACCGAAAGACGGGAGCUCACCCCGCCGCGGGGAUUCGAACCGCCGACCAUACGAUCGGCAGGUCCUAGGCACUGAGGUUUUACUCACAGCACCACCCGCGUCCCUUUUAUUGUGUUUUACUGCACAUUUAAAGAUCUAUCUUACUAACGUCUUAAUUUUACUUGUAAUAACAUGAAUCCUGGUUCUUAGAUACAGCAUCUUCCUUUGAUUUUCGAUUUGCAUUUAUUCAUAAGUACUUCUUUACCAUAGGCAUGGAGCUGUGGUUAUAUCUCUGGCCAGAAUCAGUUAGAUAGAUCUUUAAAUGUGCAGUAAAACAUCAGUUAGCUGGAAUAUAGUUGUCCCCCCCCGUCCCGUCCCCCAAUAGCUCAGCAUAUGUUUUUCCUAAACUCAAGCCUGUAUCUUGGCUGCAUUCAGGUUACAUUCUGUUUAUUGACAGCGUCAGCUGGAAGGCAACCUAGAAUGCUGUAUAAUCUCAGGCACAGGAAAGAGUUUUGGAACCAGUUCAAAAACUGCAGACGGGCAGAUGACUCCAGCCAUGCAGAGCAUCAGUGAUGGCAGUGCAUCUUAACCCGUGGCUGAACGCAGUAUCCAUCAGUGCUUUGUUUGCACCUCAUCCUCCCACCAGAGAGAGGAUGAAAGAAUAGCAAAAUCAAUCAUUCCUUUCUGCAUGCUGCAAAUGUCCAGUUGUUCUAAGAAUCACAACAAGGUAUAUAUUUCAGAAAGCAUUUUCUCAGACACAAAGGAUGAAGCUAAUUGCUUAGAAUGGAAGAUAACACACUCACUGGAGACAGUGCUGAGCUGGGAAGCCUCAUUCGGAGCUCGGAGAACAAGUUGUGCCAACUGUGACAAAAAAUUGCACCUAUGCCUACAUUACUUAGUGUCUUUAAAAUGACUUCAUUAGAUUAGCAAGGGGAAACUAAAACUUUGGCUGGAGCAAGCAAAGAAGAACCAAGCUUUAUAGCAGUUCUUCUCAUUUUGGUGUUCAUUUGGGGGGGGGGGCACCCAAGUGGCCUUACAAGCCUUCCAGUUGAUGGGGAAUGAUAGUUAUGGAUAAUUUUCUGUCAUAUCUACUGCAAAUGGUCCUUGAGGAUGUUAAGCAUUUGGAUCCAUUUUGAUCAGUUUUCAAAUCUGGUUUGGUAGUGAAAAUGUUGCUCUUUUUGUCCUGCUGGGUGAAUUAUAAAAGGGAAUGGAUGGGUUAGGGUUCUUCUGAAUUUCUUGGCAAUAUUAAUAGAAUCAUAGAAUUAUAGAGUUGGAAAGGACCCAAAGGUUUGUCUAGUCCAGCCUCAGGAAACUCAAUACUAUUUUAGUAGUAGUAGUAGUAGUAGUAGUAGUAGUAAUUAAUAAUAAUAAUAAUAAUAAUAAUAAUAAUAAUAUAUUAUUUAUACCCCGUCCAUCUGGCUGGGUUUCCCCCGCCACUCUGGGCAGCUUCCAACAAAGUAUUAAAAUACAGUGGUCUGUUGAACAUUAAAAACUUCCUUAAACAGGGCUGCCUUCAGAUGUCUUCUAGGUUUCCUUCUGGGCUACCAGGCUGAUGUGCUUAGAAGCUACAAUCUUAUAGUGGCUCUUUGGUUCAUCCUGGAGAGACAGUCCCAGAAGGUGGUUCUGGGGGUAUUUGUGCUUUAUGGUCUUUGGUAUACGGGAUGUCCCAGAGCUCUCUUCUUUCCUCUGCACUGUUUAAUAUCUUAAACUGGUGGGGGAAGUUAUCCGGACAUUUAGGAUGUGUAGCUGUCCUCAUCAGUACAAGCCUGUAAAAAAAAAUAUAUAUCUUGAAGAGCCAUCUGUUUCAGCUGGCUUUUAAUUAAGAUGGUUUUAUUUGGAUUGCUGAAGUUUUAGAAUGUUGAGUUUUAAUUCUCCUGCUUAUUUAGUUUCGUGGCUAUUUUUAUACUAGGCUGUAAAUUGUUUUAAAAUGUUGAUUAAUCAGUAAUUCUUGGAAGUUGGCUGUUUCUGAAAUUGAAACCGGCGUUUUGAUCUAAUAUUAUUGAAUUGCUCCGAGUGAUUUACUCCCACGCAGUCACAUCCAGAAGCUGAAAGAUACUAAAAAUAGGGCUAUAAGAACCUUUUUCACACGGGUAAACACAACACAUCCAGUCUGAGACAAGUAAACUAUAAUAGCCAGGAUGGCAAAAAGAACACCAAUGAAAUUUCAUCCACUUCUGGCAGUGGAACAAUGAGGACUCUGUUGCACCCAAACCUGAAUUAAAGAGGUGAGGUACUUGUUAUAGUGUUGACUAAGUUCACAGUUUCAUUGAAGCAUAACUUAGCAAGGAGAUAUGCAACCAUUACGCAAACUGAGGGGGAACAUAGUUUAUAGUAUGGGUGUUUGGGCGUGAUCUUUGACGCCUCCCUUCCUACGGAGGUGCAGGUUACAGCUAUAACAAAGGCAGCAUUUUUUCAUCUCCGCCAAGCUAAGCAGUUGGUCCCUUACCUCUCUCGCCCUGAUCUCGCCACUGUGAUCCACGCAACGGUCACCCCCAGACUGGAUUAUUGUAACUCACUCUACGUGGGGCUGCCCUUGAAACUGACCCAGAAACUGCAACAGAUGCAGAAUGCCGCAGUGAGACUUCUUACGGGGUCUUCGCCACGGGAUCACUUUCACCCAGUGCCAUACCAGCUGCACUGGCUCCUGGUGGAGUACAGGAUCAGGUUUAAGGUGCUGGUUUUAACCUUUAAAGCCCUAUAGGACCUUCGUACCUACGGGAUAUGCCCCAUAGAGGACCUUACGGUCUGCAAAUAACAACACCCUGAAGAUUCUGGGCCCCAGGGAGAUUAGACUAGCCUUGACCAGAGCCGGGGCCUUUUCAGCCAUGGCCCCAGCCUGGUGGAACACUCUCUAAAAAAGACCAGGGCACUGCAAGAUUUGACAUCCUUCCACAGGGCCUGCAAGAUGGAGCUGUUCCUCCAGGCCUUUGAUCAGGGUUCAGUCUGACUCAUUUUCUCUUUGUAUAAGAACGAGCAUGAAGAUGUCCCCCAGCCCGCUCACAGGUCCUUAUAACAGGCUUCCUCAACCUUGGCCCUCCAGAUGUUUUGAGACUACAAUUCCCAUAAUCCCUGACCACUGGUCCUGCUAGCUAGGGAUCAUGGGAGUUGUAGGCCAAAAACAUCUGGAGGGCCGAGGUUGAGGAAGCCUGCCUUAUAAUAUCAGUGGAAACAGUUGGUCCUGGCGAGUAUUAACCGCUUUAACCUGAGGAUUGUCAUUUGUCCAGUUUUAAUUUAAUUUAAUUUAAUUUUAAUUAAUUAAUUGUGGGGUGCAUUUUAAUCGAUUGACUGCUUGUUUUUAUGCAUACAGUGGUACCUUGGGUUACAGACGCUUCAGGUUACAGACUCCACUAACCCAGAAAUAGUACCUCGGAUUAAGAACUUUGCUUCAGGAUGAGAACAGAAAUCUCGAGGUGGUGGCGCAGCUGCAGCGGGAGGCCCCAUUAGCUAAAGUGGUACCUCAGGUUAAGAACAGUUUCAGGUUAAGAACGGACCUCCAGAACGAAUUAAGUUCUUAACCCGAGGUACCACUGUAUUGUAUUAUUUAUUUGAUGUUAGCCACUCUGAGCCAGGCUCCGGCUGGGAGGGGCGGGGUACAAAUAAAAAUUUAGUAGUAGUAGUAGUUGUAGCAGCAGCAGUAGUAGUGGAGAAUGGCCUCGUGGACCUUCCUGCCCAAGGUGAGAGUGAGCGUGACGCAGCCCAAAAGCUUGAAGCAAUGCGCUGACUGCUUCCGCACCAUCUGGCCACACCUGUAUUGAAGAGGGUCCCACCCAGUUCACAGCGCCAAACAAGGGUGGACUUUGGUCUUUCAAAUUUCAGAGGCCAAAAUUUGGUGCCCCCCCCUCAUCUCCCAUUUUGCUCAAUUCACCAUGACUGCAUAAUAGUUGAAAUGCCCUGCGUGGUGUGCAAUGUAGCAGAACUGGUCACACUGCCCUAAAUUUGCCUCAGCACCAAAGCCCCAAUACUGUGGGUAUAUGAAACAGGCAAAGCCCAGUGGAGUCCCAAAGUGCUAGAGAAUCCCCAGUCACUAUCCUGAUCCCUUGGUGUGGUCACUAAUGACAAUACUUAGUACUGACUUCCAUGUACGGACUGGCCUGUUGUGAUUGGACUCCUUCUCAUAUUACCAGCACACCCUCAGCACUAAUAGCCAAUCUCCCCACGGUAUCCAGAACAGGCAAAAAAAAAAUCUCCCUAUGCCAAUUUGGAUGGCAGGCAACAAGUACAUAAAUCAUAUUUCACCUUUACCUAGCCAGCCAAUCUUCCACAGUAGUGAAUGGGUGGGAGGGUGGAGAACAAAACAAGCAGAAAACUAGGCUAGUGAGACUAGAGGUGGUCUUCAAUAGCCCUCAGAUACCCCACUUCAAUGCCAGCCAAUGUGCAAGAGUGUCAUAUGCUGGCAAACCAGCACCUGGGUGUGCCACCCCAUUUUGACUGGAAACAAUGUCACUGGACCUUCAUCCGUCAAAGCUGGGGUGGCAGAAGGAGCCUGAAAAUGGCAGGCAGAUAAUUAUGCAAUUUAUCCAGCAGUCCAAACUUAAUUCAGAUUUCAUCCAUCUCUAGUAGGAACAUUACAGUCAAUGUUAGUAAUAAAACACCAGUAUGUAAAUCAAUGCUAUUUCCCAGUGACAGACACUGGCUAUUUUGGGAGCUCUGUGUAUAGAGGAACCAAGAAGUGGAACAAUGAAAGUUUUCUUUUGCAAGCAAAGUGAAAACAAAAGGUAAUAAAAUGAUAAAACAAGCACCGCUGAAGAGCUGUAGGAGGCUGAUAUUAUUUUUUAAAAAAUACAAAUUUGCUAACAAAGACUAAUGCACUAUUGUUGUGCUGCAGUCUCCACACUUAAUGAUAUAAAUACAUCUGUGUUCCUUGACAAUACACAAGUAAAGCAAUCAUGUAAGCAAUAUGUGGGUGAGAGUAUUUUUUGCUGACCUCCCCAGGCAAUCAGCUUGUGGUCUAAGCUGUUAGGUUUCAUUAGCACAGUUGCAGAGCUCCAUUUGCUAAUGUGGGCAAUUAAUCCAUCCAGGCUUCAAGGGAGAGAACUGCCCAGCUGUCCACAGAGUACCCUAACACUGCCUCAGUCAAAGCAAAGAAGGAAGCAAAUGGGAAGUACUUUCCUUUUGAGAGCAAGAGACCACAUUGGACAGCCAUAAAAUGUAAAUGCACUUGUUGGGUUUUUUUAAAAAAGCAACUUGCCGUAUUUUUCUCUCUAUAGGACGCACCCAACCAUAGGACGUACCUUGUUUUAGAGGGGGGUGGAACAAGAAAAAAAUUUCUCCCCCUCUCUGCUCAGCGCCCCUUCAGCAAAGCAGCAGGAGAAAUGGAGCCCCUUCCAUUUCUCCUCCCGCUUCACUGAAGGGGCUCUCCGCAGCUCUCUCUCUGCUGAAGCCAGGAGAGUCCUGCUCUCCAGGCUUCAGCGAAAGCAACGCGAAGCCUCCGGAGCGCAGAGGGAGCGCUCCCUCUGUGCUUCGAAGGCUUCGUGCUGCUAUCGCUGAAGCCAAGGAGCCUGCAUUCACUCCAUAAGACGCACACACAUUUCCCCUUAAUUUUUGGAGGGGGAAAAGUGCGUCUUAUAGAGCGAAAAAUACGGUAUAUACCGUCUAGCUACAGUAGUCUCUAAGCAGCUUCCAAAGAGACGAUACAAAAAUAAAAAUGAAUUAAAACUAAAAAAUCAGACAUCAGUUAAAACGCCUGCUGGAAUAAAUGUGCAAGAGGACGGGGACUUGACUGGCCUCAACUAGAAAGGAGUUCCAUAAAACUGGGCUCACAAAGCUAAAUGCUUGUCUUUUGGCGGAAAAGACCUGUGCAUUGGAUGCAAAGGGGACCACAAACUGUGACUCUCAUGAAGACCUUGGUGAUGAGGCAGGGAUGUCAGGGAUUAGGUGGUCCUUAAGGUAUCUUGGACCCAAAUAAUGAAGGACCUGGACUGGUAGCACAUGGGCAGCUAGAGCGGACUUUUGAGCUCUGGAAUUUUGUGCUGGUGAUGAUCUGUCUUCAUAAACAGUCUAGCUGCAGCAUUUUGCAUUAGAUGGAGCUUCCAGACCAGGCCCAAGGGCAGCCCCACUUAAAGUGCUCUGAGAUCUUCAGAUUAAGGGAUGGACAGAUGUCUUUUAAAUAAAUAAGAGCAUACCUCUCAAAUGUGUGCAGUUCUGAAUAAGACCAAGGUCGCCAAAAAUGUGCCACUUAUUCUUAAUUAAAGGCAUUCUUAACAUUGACCUUCAUAUUUACCAAAAUGUUGAUUUUAUUUUUUUUACUUUAAAAGUCUGCCCAGAAAACCACAGUAAUUAACUCUUUGACUGUUUUAAUUUCCAAAGUGAACUUUAUGAAUAUGGAUACCUAAACUCUGAAACUACUUUUCAUUACAAGUUAAUAUGUACUCGUCAAAUGACAAGGUUUUUGUUCUUUAGCAUUCGACAUGAGAUGAAUGAACUGCCAUGCAGUUUCUGCAUAGCUCAUUCUGCAUUGCUACUUGCACCAUUCCAAUAAAAGAAGUGCAAAAACCCGACACGGUUCAGGCCAUUGCUGGAACCCUGUCCAUAGCUACACAUGACAUCCCCAGCAUAUACAUGUGGAAAUGAUUGCACAAGAAUUCUAGCAUACUAGGAGUUUGAAUUACACAUAAAAUAGUACUAUAUCAGCUGAUAGUUUAACAAAGCGGAAUUGAAACCAAGAGGCACAAUUAAUCUGCUCCAGUGCCUCACACUUAAUGGAUUGUUGCAUUCUGCUAAUUAACUAUAAAUUUUAGCUUUAAGAAGCUUGUCCUGUGCAGGACCCAGUAGCUGAGGGAGGAGAUGGGAAGGUCAGAGCAAAAUAGGCAGAGAACAUAGGCUAAGGAUGUGACUGGGUGUUAUGAAUCAUGAUCUCCUUACAAAUCAGUAAAAUCUAUUUCUCAUGGAUAAGAGGUUAGACACAAUGGAAUAUUACAGGUUCAGCUUUUAGCAAAAGCACAAGAGAACCAAGUCAUGGAUUUCCAGAUUAUGUCUGGCUGCACCUUUAAUUCAUGAAAUAGGUAUUGACAUUAAAAUAAAUAAAUUAAAAAAUAAUAAAUGAGAGGAUACAUUUGUGCAUGAAUAGUUGGUCACUGGCACCUUCCAUUAAAAGGUAGUAGAAAAGACUAGACUAAACUGGGUUCAAUGUUCCAACCAUCUGCGAAUGCAUACAAGGCAUCUAAUUGUUCAUAUAUCUGGCCAAGGUACUAUAUCUGUUUUUCUCACAUGAUGGUAAAGCAUGUUUGUUGUCUUUCUUUCCUUGGUUCUAGAUUGUUUUUUAGUACAAGUGUACCAUCUGUGUUUGGUAAUUGAUUGCCCUUAUCUUUUAACAGCUCCCUUUAAAGUGAAAUUACAUGUUCUGCAGUUGCACAUUAGCCAGCGUUCAAGGAAGCACAUUCUCAGCUUAUAAUCCUACAGAAGUAUGGCAACAUCUCUCAAUAAAGAUGUGAGUGGUU